rnacentral:RNase_P_RNA from 1 species
CGAAGAAAUCGGAUGGCCGCUUGCGUUUUUGCGUGAGAGGAAAGUCCGGGCUUCACGGGAAAGCGGCGCCGGAUAACGUCCGGACAGGGCCUUUGGGCUUUGAUGGAAAGUGCUGAAGAAAUUUAAACUACCUCUUUUUCGGAAGGGGAAAAGGUGAGAAGGUGCGGUAAGAGCGCACCGCGAAGUCGGUAACGGCUUUGGCAAAGGCAAACCCCGCCGGAAGCAAGACCAAAUAGGAACCUCGCGCCCUUUGGGCAGGUGUUUUUCCGCAUCGAUGGUUCGGGUAGGUCGCAUGAAAGGUUUGGUAACAAAUCUUCCAGAUGAAUGGUCAUCACCUGCUUUGCAGGGACAGAACCCGGCUUAUAGAUUUCUUCGACUA